rnacentral:rRNA from 1 species
GACGAACGCUGGCGGCGUGCUUAACACAUGCAAGUCGAACGGAAAGGCCCUGCUUUUGUGGGGUGCUCGAGUGGCGAACGGGUGAGUAACACGUGAGUAACCUGCCCUUGACUUUGAGAUAACUUCAGGAAACUGGGGCUAAUACCGGAUAGGAGCUCCUGCUGCAUGGUGGGGGUUGGAAAGUUUCGGCGGUUGGGGAUGGACUCGCGGCUUAUCAGCUUGUUGGUGGGGUAGUGGCUUACCAAGGCUUUGACGGGUAGCCGGCCUGAGAGGGUGACCGGCCACAUUGGGACUGAGAUACGGCCCAGACUCCUACGGGAGGCAGCAGUGGGGAAUAUUGCACAAUGGGCGGAAGCCUGAUGUAGCAACGCCGCGUGCGGGAUGACGGCCUUCGGGUUGUAAACCGCUUUCGCCUGUGACGAAGCGUGAGUGACGGUAAUGGGUAAAGAAGCACCGGCUAACUACGUG